GUGAGGAAUAUUGCGCAAUGGGCGAAAGCCUGACGCAGCGACGCCGCGUGAAGGAUGAAGGCUUUAGAGUCGUAAACUUCUGUUAAGUGGGAAGAAAAGUUAAAUUAUAAUACAGUUUAAUCAUGACGGUACCAUUAGAGAAAGCACCGGCUAACUUCGUGCCAGCAGCCGCGGUAAUACGAGGGGUGCAAGCGUUAUUCGGAAUCAUUGGGCGUAAAGGGUGCGUAGACGGCAUAUUAAGUCAUUUGUUUAAUUUCCUCGGCUUAACUGAGGUUCUGCAGGUGAUACUGAUAAGCUAGAGGGUGGAAGAGAGAAGUGGAAUUCUCGGAGUAGCGGUAAAAUGCGUAGAUCUCGAGAGGAACACCGAUGGCGAAGGCAGCUUCUUGGUCCAUACCUGACGUUGAGGCACGAAAGCGUGGGGAGCAAACAGGAUUAGAAACCCUAGUAGUCC
rnacentral:rRNA from 1 species